rnacentral:rRNA from 1 species
GAUGAACGCUGGCGGCGUGCCUAAUACAUGCAAGUCGAGCGAACAGACGAGGAGCUUGCUCCUCUGACGUUAGCGGCGGACGGGUGAGUAACACGUGGAUAACCUACCUAUAAGACUGGGAUAACUUCGGGAAACCGGAGCUAAUACCGGAUAAUAUAUUGAACCGCAUGGUUCAAUAGUGAAAGACGGUUUUGCUGUCACUUAUAGAUGGAUCCGCGCCGCAUUAGCUAGUUGGUAAGGUAACGGCUUACCGGGGCAACGAUGCGUAGCCGACCUGAGAGGGGGAUCGGCCACACUGGAACUGAGACACGGUCCAGACGCCUACGGGAGGCAGCAGUAGGGAAUCUUCCGCAAUGGGCGAAAGCUUGACGGAGCAACGCGGCGUGAGUGAUGAAGGUCUUCGGAUCGUAAAACUCUGUUAUUAGUGAAGAACAAAUGUGUAAGUAACUAUGCACGGCUUGACGGUACCUAAUCAGAAAGCCACGGCUAACUACGUG